rnacentral:tRNA from 1 species
GCUCAGUUGGUUAAGCAGCUGACUCCUGAUUUCUGCUCAGGUCAUGAUCUCACAGUUUGUGGGUUCGAGCCCCGCAUUGGGCU